UACGGGGGGGGGCAAGCGUUGUUCGGAAUUACUGGGGCGUAAAGGGCUGGUAGGCGGCCAACUAAGUCGGAUGUGAAAUCCCCAGGCUUAACCUGGGAACUGCAUCCGAUACUGGUCGGCUUGAAUCCGGGAGAGGGAUGCAGAAUUCCAGGUGUAGCGGUGAAAUGCGUAGAUAUCUGGAGGAAUACCGGUGGCGAAGGCGGCAUCCUGGACCGGCAUUGACGCUGAACAGCGGAAAGCAGGGGAGCAAACGG
rnacentral:rRNA from 1 species